CUAACAAGGAUUCCCCUAGUAGCGGCGAGCGAAGAGGGAAGAGCCCAGCACCGAACCUCGCGCCCUCGGGUGUCGCGGAAUGUGGUGUUCAGGAGGACCGUGCGCGUCUGUCCGGUAUCGUCCAAGUCUCCAUGAAUGGGGCCAGCAACCCAGAGAGGGUGUCAGGCCCGUGGGACGAGCCGCGACCGUGUAUUGGGUCUCUCCUUAGAGUCGGGUUGCUUGAGAGUGCAGCCCUAAGCGGGAGGUAAACUCCUUCUAAGGCUAAAUACGGCCACGAGACCGAUAGCAAACAAGUACCGCGAGGAAAGUUGAAAAGAACUUUGAAGAGAGAGUUCAAGAGUGCGUGAAACCGUUCAGGGGGUUAAACGGGUGGGCCCUCGAAGGUCGAACGGUCCCCACUCCCGUCACCUGUAGUGCCGGCCCGUGCUGCUUUUCGAUUCCGCUACGGAACGAGGCUUGGUGCGGUUCGCCGGUCUACGGGGGCCGCUAGCUGGGGACCCAGUAGGACUCCGCAACCGGCUGGGAGGCCGUCAGAAGGGUUCUGUGAGGAAGCCCCCUCGUUGGGGUGGAUUCCGGGAUUCCGGGCGGUCCUCUCGGCCGUGAACCAGAAUUUCUCUCCUGCGGAGAGUAGAGUCGGGUCCCACCCGACCCGUCUUGAAACACGGACCAAGGAGUCUAACAUGUGCGCGAGUCGUCGGGUACUACUAAACCCGAAGGCGUAAUGAAAGUGAAGGCGCCCUUGUUGGCGGCCGAGGGGAGAUCCCGUUCUGCUCCGGUAGCUCGGGCGCAUCCCCGGGCGUCGAAGCCGCGUUGCCGGCUAGACGAACCAAGAGCGUACACGUUGGGACCCGAAAGAUGGUGACCUAUGCCUGGCCAGGACGAAGCCAGGGGAAACCCUGGUGGAGGUCCGCAGCGAUUCUGACGUGCAAAUCGAUCGUCUGAGUUGGGUAUA
rnacentral:rRNA from 1 species